rfam:Nelumbo nucifera unplaced genomic scaffold scaffold00230, whole genome shotgun sequence
AUACCUUUCUCGGCCUUUUGGCUAAGAUCAAGUGUAGUAUCUGUUCUUAUCAGUUUAAUAUCUGAUACGUGGGUCAUCGGCCCAGACGAUAUUAAAUUAAUUUUCCUUGGCGGAAGGCCCGUUACAGUAGCUUUCUAUUGGGACCUUCAAGCGUCGCCCUUGCGUUGCACUACUUCACGGGCCUGGCGCACCCCCC